rnacentral:sRNA from 1 species
GGAUGUCCAGUCAGAGAAAAUUAUAUGACAAAAAAGUUUGUUCUUUCACACCAGUUUUCUGAUGUGUCCUGCAUCGAAAUAAGAGAAAGGAGGUUUAGUAAAUUUGAGAAACGAUUCAAUAUUCCAUGGUAAGAUAGUUUUCCUCGUUUAGUGUUGUAAUCAAGAUUUCAGGAGGAUAGAGUUAAAGAGAGUAUCAGGAUUUCUCGAGAUUCACCUACAUUGCGGAGAAAAUGCAACAUUUGACUAUCAUAAAAUCGAAACAGACUGCUGGUUCAAUUUGGUAUCAACCAACGGAAAGCACUUGAUGAGACAAAUGUCUGCGAAAUUUUACCGUAUUAGUGAUAUAAAGAGCUUGAGGAAAGUCAUUAGAUGGGACGAUAUGAUGACAGAUUUUGUAAUCAACGACAGUUUUAUCAUCGAAGCUCAUAUCGAGAUUUUGAGUAUCAUUGAAGAAGCGUGCUUUUGGCCUUAUUGGAUAACGGAAGAGGAUGCAGUAUUUCAUGAAUAUACGAUUUGUAGGCUAUAACAAUUUAAAGUGGUGUUUUUCAGAAGAUCUUUUUAUAUAUCCUGUAAAGUUAACAAUGUUUCAAGAUUUCUAGAUGAUGAGAAGCAGUGGGGUAAUACGGAAUUACGAUAUGAAAUUCCAUGGUAAGUUCCUUCAAAAGUUCACAAUACUUCAUAGCGUAGAACUUAUAUUCUUCAGGAGAAUCCAAGCAAAAAGAACCUAUGAUUUUCUCGAAAUGUAUCUUUUUUGUGAUGGAGAAGGCAAUGGUUUAGAUCAGUUAAUAAAAACAGAAGUCACGUGCAACUUGGUUUCUACAAACGGGAACAACUUUAGACGAACAACAGAACUUAAUUUUAAAAAACCAGGUGGUCAAAGCAUCAGUGAAUUUAUUAAAUGGAACGACAUGAUAGAGUCUUUUCUCAAUCCGCUUGAAGACAGUUUGAUCGUCGAAGCUCAUGUUAAAAUUUUCAUGGUUGAAGGUUUGUGUAGUUGAUAAUGUUGUCUUUAAAAAAAUAAAGCAAUUCUGGGAAAAAUUGGUUUUCCAGAGUUUUCGCGUAAAUUUCUGCAAAACGAAAGAAGUUUUUUGAUGUCGCACACAGUGAGAGAUGUUUCAAGCGCGGAAGAAGGAAACGUAGUUUUUUGUGCUACGGAAGAAUGGUACGAUGUUCAAUGGUAAAUAGCCGGUAAUUUCAUAGUUAUUGAAAUUUGAAUAUUGCAGGAGUAUUUCUAUGAAGUACAUUAAUGGAUUUGUUGAAUUACUUCUAAGUUGUGACAAAGAUCUGAACGCGCAUGAAGCAUGGAGCAUUGAAGCUAGCGUUCAACGCAUACUCGUUGGAGCAAAUGGUAAAAGACUCACUGACUAUUUUGAGCAUACUUUUGAAAAGCCCGAUUCGAUUGGGGAUUCGAAACUCAUUAGAUGGGAGGACAUGUUGGAUCAGUAUGCGGUGGAGGAUAGUUUAACAGUUGAAGCACGAGUGGUGUAUACGAAAAUUAUCGGUUUGUUGUACAGUCCUAUUUGCAUGUUCUGAUGCAAAGUAUUUAGAUCCUCAACCAGAGUACUCGUUCAUAAUGUGUCAUACCGUCAAAAAACUAUCAAAUGUUCGAGAAGGAGAAUUUCAUUUUAGCAAAACCGAACAGCAUUGUGAUGCUCCAUGGUUAGUGUGCUCGUCGUCUCAAAAAUAAAUUGAUGUUUCAGGAGAAUUUCCUUGAAAAAAGAAGAAGCGUGUAUUUUGAUAUAUCUCCAUUGUGACAAAUUAUUAUCCAACGAUGAACACUGGUCGAUUCAAGUCGAGGUUCAACUUGUUUUGGGGUCAGAAACUGGGAGAACUUUAACUGACAAGGUCACUCACAUUUUCAAUGAACCGGAAGGAAUUCAUUGGACUAAAGAUUUGACAUGGGAAGACCUGGAGAGAGAUUUUAUGGUUGAUGACAGCGUCAAAAUUGAAGCUCGUGUCAAGAUAGUGAAACCUGUCGAAAUUGAUAAUGAAGAUGAACAUUAGAGUUUUUGAUAACUUUGAGGAGUGAUUUGAAAUAUUAUAUUUUCAUCUGAAAAUGUUUUCCAGUAAAUGUAAUUUUCAAAAUAAAGAAAUCAUUGAUGAGUGUCGUACUAAAAAUAAUUUACUCAACAAAUGUUAAAUUUUUUUUCAAAAUGUUUGAGGGGGGGGGGGGGGGGCAAAAUCAAUUGUUUUGGUCAAAAUAAUAUUGCCAAAUUUUUGAUGUGUGCGGCAAAUUUCGAAAUUUUUCGAGCUCGGCAAAUUUGGCAAGUCUGCUUAUUUUAGAAUUUUUUUGAAAAAUAAUUCGGCAAAUUUGCCUCUCACCCCUGGCACAAUUUUUUCCAAGAAGCACGGAGCAUUUUUAACAAGCUUUCACUGUUACAAAAGCUGAAAGAACUAUCAAAAACAUUAGGAAUUGUGUCGCGUCAAAAAUUACCAGCAAAACUUCAAUUAACUUCCAAAAAUCGAAUUAAUUUUUUCUGUGGGGGAAGUGAACUUUAAAAAUGGGUUUAAAGGAAUUAUAUGUAUGUACACAGUUUGUAGUAUUCGAGAAACACAUAGGGUGAAUUGAAACUGAUAAGAAAACACUCACGGGCGGUUAUAUCGAUUGCGUAUUCACUUCAGUGCCACUUCAUGCUUUAUUUUUUCUCUUUUUUCUUGCUUAUAGUUUAACAACUUUUAAAUUGUGAAAUUUCAGGUUCAUAAUGAGUCUCUCCAAAUGUGAAUUUUCAAUGGAAUAUACCAUAAAGAAUGUCUCUAAAUUUUCCGCCGGUGAAAUUCAGUUUAGCGAUGAAACAAUUUGGCGUAAUUUAAUAUGGCAAGGCAAAUAUUGAGUUUUAUUUGUAACAUUUUGAUUCAGGAAAUUGAAAAUCAGCAAGUUAGAUGAUUUUCUUGGUGUAUCCGUAUACUGUUCUCAAACUUCCAAUACCUGGAUCAAAGACUGCCAGAUUGUUGGAAUAUUGGAAUGUAAAAUAGUUUCAGACAAUGGGGAAACUCAUGAGGGAAUCAGGUUACUCAACAUGAAACCACCAAGAAAAAUUGAAGGUCCUAUGAUUGAUUUUCGAGAGUUUCUAAAAUGGGACGAAAUGAAAAAAAACUUUUUGACUGCGGAUAGUGUCAAAAUUGUAGUUAUUGUGAAUAAUUUCACAGCAUUAGGUCAGUAAAGUUAAUGUCGUCAAACAAUUUUUCAAGUUUCAGAGGAUAUAGAUUUUCUUUGUGGUUUUAAAAUACUUCAUACAUUUAAACAUCUGGCCAGAUUUGAAGAAAAUGAAACACAAUUUAGUGAUUCGAAAGAAUGGGCUGGAACUUCAUGGUUUGUCUUAUAUUACGAUCCAAAUUGUAUGUUGCUUCAAUUAUUUUAUGAUGGUUCACAAAUUUAAAAAUACAGUCUAUUUGGUUGGCUAUAUAAUUGUCACUGUUACUCCACCUUGAACUUAUUUUUGCUAACAAAAAUAUUGAGUUGAAGAAAAAUUUAACUGACAACACUGUAUUUGUUACAGGAGGAUAUGUGUAAAAAAAGAGGAAGGAUAUCUCGGAUGUUAUUUACAGUGUGAAAGCAAUCCCAAUACAUCACUAAUUUGCGUCAGUGCAAUAUGCGAAUUGCGUAUUAAGUCCAAGGAAAACUAUGAGAUUUUCGACUUGGAUGUACUUGAAUUCAGUAGACCUACAAUGCUGGGCAACAGUAAAUUGAUGAAAUGGGAGGACCUGAUAUCAAAUUAUUUGGUUAGCGACAGUGUCACAAUAGAGGCAGAUUUGGAAGCCUAUAACG